rnacentral:rRNA from 1 species
AUUGAACGCUGGCGGCAGGCCUAACACAUGCAAGUCGAGCGAGCGGCGGACGGGUGAGUAAUGUAUGGGGACUGCCCGAUAGAGGGGGAUAACUACUGGAAACGGUGUCUAAUACCGCAUACUAUCGGAUAACCCAUAUGGGAUUAGCUAGUAGGUGCGGUAAAGGCUCACCUAGGCGAUGUUCUCUAGCUGGUCGGAGGGGAUGAUUAGCAAGACUGGAAGUGAGACAGGGCCCAGACUCCUGCGGAGUCAGCAGUGGGGAAUAUUGCGGAAUGAGCGCGAGCCUGAUGCAGCUCUGCAGCGUGUAUGAAGAAGGCAUUAGGGUGGUAAAGUACUUUCAGCGGGGAGGCGUUACCCGCAGAAGAAGCACCGGCUAACUCCGUGCCAGCAGCCGCGGUAAUUC